AUUAUUUCUAUCCGCGAGCCUGGGUGGACUGCAUUGUUACCUGAGAGCUACAUCUGUUCUAUCCCACGGAAGCCUGGGUGGACUGCAUUACCUGAGAGCGCCCAUCUGUUCUAUCCACGGAAGCCUGGGUGCAUCUGUUCUAGCCACGGAAGCCUGGGUGGACUGCAUACCUGAGAGCGCGCAUCUGUUCUAUCCACGGAAGCCUGGGUGGACUGCAUUACCUGAGAGUGCGCAUCUGUUCUAUCCACGGAAGCAGGAGGGAGCUGGAGCCUAUGGUCGGCAUGCAGGUGGCUUGGUAGUGUUUGGGAGGGGUUUGGGAGUUCUGGAAGUUCUGCGGAUUAGUUCUAGUUUCUGUGCAUCAGAGCAAGAUCCUGUCUCAAAAAAACGAGGAGAGCAGGAGGAGGCAGGAGGCUUGAGAAGGGAGGGACAGAGUGGAAUAAUCAUCCAGGGCAUGUUUUUUUCAAACCCCAUUAGUGGGUUGUGAAAGCAAUUUAGAAAAGCUGCUGUCAGAGUAUUUUAAUGAAAUGAAAGAGGAUAGGAUCAGAGAGAAGAAAAAAGGAAAUACCAAAGUAGUAAGUGUUAGUUCCCCGAACUCUCCUUCACUCCUACACAUAUAAAAAUGUAAUUUUAAAAAACAAGUGUGUCGAAGAUGGAGCUGAAGAGGUGUGUGGAUGGACCAAGAAAAGGGAGCUGGACCCCUCGAGACCGACAGCUGUGAAUCCCUUAAGGAGGCUGUGGUCUGCCGGGCGCGGUGGCUCACGCCUGUAAUCCCAGCACUUUGGGAGGCCGAGGCGGGCGGAUCACAAGGUCAGGAGAUCGAGACCACGGUGAAACCCCGUCUCUACUAAAAAUACAAAAAAUUAGCCGGGC
rnacentral:lncRNA from 1 species